rnacentral:rRNA from 1 species
CCUACUGUGUGCAGCAGUGGGGAAUAUUGGGCAAUGGGCGCAAGCCUGACCCAGCAACGCCGCGUGAAGGAAGAAGGCUUUCGGGUUGUAAACUUCUUUUCUCAGGGACGAAGCAAGUGACGGUACCUGAGGACUAAGACACGGCUAACUACGUGCCAGCAGCCGCGGUAAUACGUAGGUGGCAAGCGUUAUCCGGAUGUACUGGGUGUAAAGGGCGUGUAGGCGGGAAAGCAAGUCAGAUGUGAAACCCAAGGGCUCAACCUGUGGCCUGCAUUUGACACUGUUUUUCUUGAGUACUGGAGAGGCAGACGGAAGUCCUAUUGUAGCGGUGAAAUGCGUAGAGAUUAGGAGGAACACCAGUGGCGAAGGCGGUCUGCUGGACAGCAACUGACGCUGAGGCGCGAAAGCGUGGGGAGCAAACAGGAUUAGAUACCCUUGUAGUC